ACGACCCUUGUUUGUGUUCCAUCUAUCUCUUAUAUAUUUUCAGUCAUUGAGGCAUUUCAUAGCUGAACAAGGAAUAUCUUGAGCGAAUUGUUUGGAAUCUCUGUCUCAAGUUUUGGCCUGUCUAAAAAGAGCAUCUUCGGAAAAUGGGCCCCUUCUUGGUGUAGAAGACACACAACAUCAGCCUCGGGUCUAACAGUUAUUUGAAUUGAGGAAAGUAUUCAAUCAUCGCCCAGUUUCAUCAUCACAGCACAACCAAACAACAUAUCACAUUUCCUAUCAAGUUACUAGGGUAAUUUCCCUUGCGAAGUGUGGCCUCCGUCCGAGAGUCAGAUGAGUCGAAACAGUGCGUUUCUCCUGAAGACUUUUCUGGAGUUCCGGUUGGUGUGCCUGUGGCAGAAAAAUGUUAAAUUAGAUUCAUCAAGCUCUUCAUCAGCAAUGUGUCGCCAUAUAUGACACAAUGGUCGUAUACUUUCCCGUUAUUCAAUAUUUCAGUUUUUUUUUUUCAGUUAUUGGAAUUCCUAAAACUACCUCAAUAUCGCCCAGCCUUUAUCAUUACAGCGUUUAAUUACGAGCAACAGAACGCAUUUCCUAUCAAAGUGGAGUCUAUAGCGAAAUAAAGGGAAGACACGAAAAUUAAAAUCAAGCCCUUGCUGUUGGAUUUGUUUACAAGAAAUUACAACCUAUGUUAUAGAACUUUUUUGCAGAGUCGUGACAAGUCAACAUUAUCACAAAUGAACGAAAUCAAGAAGCUGUCUUACCAGGACAAACCACAGGAUCGAUUUUGAAAAUACAUUUUUCGGGCGUUUGUUUUCGGGGAUCGUUGUGUUCAAAAUAGAACAUAAAAUCUAGCUCAGCGUCUUCCAUCUUGACGGUUCGCAUGUUUACUGUUUUAUAUCCCGGUUCCAAUCUGUCCUUGUACUCUCUACACCCGUCCAUACAGGUGCAGUUCCCUUUUUCAUUGCAGAAAGUGAUAUCUUUAGAUCCAUCAGCUUUUUUCAAGAACGCUCCCAAGCCAUGUGGAGUUUGAAGAAAUUGUUGAAAACUCGAACAAGAUAAGUUAGCCCUGUGACCAAUGCAACUGCGAACGCCUGAACAUCAAU